ACUCCUACGGGAGGCAGCAGUAGGGAAUCUUCCACAAUGGACGAAAGUCUGAUGGAGCAACGCCGCGUGAGUGAAGAAGGGUUUCGGCUCGUAAAACUCUGUUGUUAAAGAAGAACAUAUCUGAGAGUAACUGUUCAGGUAUUGACGGUAUUUAACCAGAAAGCCACGGCUAACUACGUGCCAGCAGCCGCGGUAAUACGUAGGUGGCAAGCGUUGUCCGGAUUUAUUGGGCGUAAAAGCGAGCGCAGGUCGGUUUUUAAGUCUGAUGUGAAAGCCUUCGGCUCAAACCGAAGAAGUGCAUCGGAAACUGGGAAACUUGAGUGCAGAAGAGGACAGUGGAACUCCAUGUGUAGCGGUGAAAUGCGUAGAUAUAUGGAAGAACACCAGUGGCGAAGGCGGCUGUCUGGUCUGUAACUGACGCUGAGGCUCGAAAGUAUGGGUAGCAAACAGGAUUAGAUACCCCUGGUAGGAUAGCG
rnacentral:rRNA from 1 species